CAAUAGCGUAUAUUUAAGUUGUUGCAGUUAAAAAGCUCGUAGUUGGAUUUCGGGUGGGACGCAGCGGUCUCGCAUUGCGUUUGUACUGCUGCAGCCCUCCUUCUUGCCGGGGGCGGCCUCUCGGACUUCACUGUCUGGGGGUCAGAAUCGGCGAUGUUACUUUGAGUAAAUUAGAGUGUUCAUAGCAAGCUUACGCUCUGAAUAUAAUAGCAUGGGAUAACACGACAGGACUCUGGCCUAUCGUGUUGGUCUAUAGGACCAGAGUAAUGAUUAAGAGGGACAGUCGGGGGCAUUCGUAUUCCGUUGUCAGAGGUGAAAUUCUUGGAUUUACGGAAGACGAACAUCUGCGAAAGCAUUUGCCAAGGAUGUUUUCAUUGA
rnacentral:rRNA from 1 species